AGCAUCAAAGUGCAUCGACAGGUGUUGCCCUACAGGGGGAGACACAGCAGGACUGACUGAAAGAUCCACACUCGCAUCUCAGAGGAGACCUGUGUCGGUGCACGAGUUUGAAGCUCUCUGGGCUCAUCGGGUUGUGAGAGGCCAGGAUCCCUCUGCUGACUCCAGAACCAGACUUAUCAAAACCAGGUCUUUCCUGAAAAUGAACGGCACUCCCUGAUUAAAUAAAAUAUAAGGUGGAAAAUGUUUGACGUUUCACAUGUAAAGUGUGGAUCCUGUGUUACCUGCUCCUGCAUGAGGUCUUUGAGUUGUGUGAUCUUCUCUGUGUCUUCAGGAUGGCUGGUGAUGUACUCCUUAUCAAAGAAAGCCUGGGAAAGGGAAAAAAUAGGUUUAGAUUACUGCUAAUAUCUGCAAUUAGCUGAAUAUAUUUUUAUAACGCUGUAAAAAGUCUUUGUUGUUAAAUUACAGAAUCAAACCCACUUUCAUACACCUGCACUAAUAAGUUGUACACCUUUCACAGAUUCAAAAUUAAACCCAUUAUUUCAAAAGGUGGUUAGAGGAUCUUAACAGCUCAUGUUCUUCAUAUUAACACAAAGAUUUCAUUUGGACUCCUAAAAUAAAAAGAGCCAAAAAUAAAACCUGAGGAGGAAGACUUCAUGAUAACAAUGAACUCUCAUUACAGAACAAAGAUAACAGGACAUUAUGUUUAAUACAGAGAAGGACUCAUCAGAAGAUGAGGAUUAAUGUUCAUUUUAAGUUUUUUUUUUUUU